rnacentral:misc_RNA from 1 species
GGAAGGAUCAUUAUUGAAUAAACUUGAACAGGUUGUUGCUGGCCCCUUGAAAAGAGGGGUAUGUGCACGCUUGUCAUCUUUAUUUUUCCUCUUGUGCACAUUCUGUAGACCUAGGGUUUUGUUGAUCUAUUCAGAAUAAAGGAUUGCUGUGCAUUUUCAAAUGAAAAAAGUCAGCUUUGUCUUAUAUUCCUGGGUCUAUGUUAAAUUUUCAUGAUCUCUUAGUAUUAGAAUGUUGAGAUAAUUCAGGUCUUUGUACCUAUAAUAAAGUUAAUACAACUUUCAGCAACGGAUCUCUUGGCUCUCGCAUCGAUGAAGAACGCAGCGAAAUGCGAUAAGUAAUGUGAAUUGCAGAAUUCAGUGAAUCAUCGAAUCUUUGAACGCAUCUUGCGCUCCUUGGUAUUCCAAGGAGCAUGCCUGUUUGAGUGUUAUUAAAUUCUCAACCAUAUUCAAUUUCUCUUUGAUGUGGCUUGGAUAUGGGGGUUUUCUUGCUGGCCUUUUAAAAGAAGGUCUGCUCCCCUCAAACAUAUUAGCAGUUACUUUGCAGAGACUAAUAAAGGUGUGAUAAUUGUCUAUACCUUUUUAGAAUCCUGUAUUAAACCGCUUCCAACAUAAAUAAUGAUAUAUUUGACCUCAAAUCAGGUAGGACUACCCGCUGAACUUAAGCAUAUCAAUAAGCGGAGGAAAAGAAACUAACAAGGAUUCCCCUAGUAACUGCGAGUGAAGCGGGAAAAGCUCAAAUUUGAAAUCUGGCAGUUCUUGACUGUCCGAGUUGUAAACUAGAGAAGUGUUACCUGUGCUGGACCAUGUACAAGUCUCCUGGAAUGGAGCAUCAUAGAGGGUGAGAAUCCCGUCUUUGACAUGGACUACCUGUGCGUUAUGGUGCACUCUCAAAGAGUCGAGUUGUUUGGGAAUGCAGCUCAAAAUGGGUGGUAAAUGCCAUCUAAAGCUAAAUAUUGGCGAGAGACCGAUAGCGAACAAGUACCGUGAGGGAAAGAUGAAAAGAACUUUGGAAAGAGAGUUAAACAGUACGUGAAAUUGCUGAAAGGGAAACGCUUGAAGUCAGUCACAUUGGCUAGAAAUCAGCCUUGCUUUUGCUUGGUGUAUUUUCUAGUUGAUGGGUCAGCAUCAAUUUUGACCAUUGGAUAAAGUCUUUGGGAAUGUAGCAUCUUUGGAUGUGUUAUAGCCUAUUGUUCAUAUACAGUGGUUGGAAUUGAGGAACUCAGCACGCCGCAAGGCCGGGUUUCGACCACGUUCGUGCUUAGGAUGCUGGCAUAAUGGCUUUAAUCGACCCGUCUUGAAACACGGACCAAGGAGUCUAACAUGCCUGCGAGUGUUUGGGUGGAAAACCCAUGCGCGUAAUGAAAGUGAAAGUUGAGAUCCCUGUAAAGGGGAGCAUUGACGCCCAGACCAGAACUUUUGGGACGGAUCUGCGGUAGAGCAUGUAUGUUGGGACCCGAAAGAUGGUGAACUAUGCCUGAAUAGGGUGAAGCCAGAGGAAACUCUGGUGGAGGCUCGUAGCGAUUCUGACGUGCAAAUCGAUCGUCAAAUUUGGGUAUAGGGGCGAAAGACUAAUCGAACCAUCUAGUAGCUGGUUCCUGC